AUUGAACGCUGGCGGCAGGCUUAACACAUGCAAGUCGAGCGGGGGAAGGUAGCUUGCUACCGGACCUAGCGGCGGACGGGUGAGUAAUGCUUAGGAAUCUGCCUAUUAGUGGGGGACAACAUCUCGAAAGGGAUGCUAAUACCGCAUACGUCCUACGGGAGAAAGCAGGGGAUCACUUGUGACCUUGCGCUAAUAGAUGAGCCUAAGUCGGAUUAGCUAGUUGGUGGGGUAAAGGCCUACCAAGGCGACGAUCUGUAGCGGGUCUGAGAGGAUGAUCCGCCACACUGGGACUGAGACACGGCCCAGACUCCUACGGGAGGCAGCAGUGGGGAAUAUUGGACAAUGGGGGGAACCCUGAUCCAGCCAUGCCGCGUGUGUGAAGAAGGCCUUAUGGCUGUAACGCACUUUAAGCGGGGAGGAGGCUCUUUUGGUUAAUACCCAAGAUGAGUGGACGUUACUCGCAGAAUAAGCACCGGCUAACUCUGUGCCAGCCGCCGCGGUAA
rnacentral:rRNA from 1 species